UUAAGUUAAUAAGGGCGCACGGUGGAUGCCUUGGCACUAGAAGCCGAUGAAGGACGUGACUAACGACGAAAUGCUUUGGGGAGCUGUAAGUGAGCAAUGAUCCAGAGAUGUCCGAAUGGGGGAACCCGGCAGGUAAUGCCUGUCACUCAUUACUGUUAAGGUAAUGUAGAGGAAGACGCAGUGAACUGAAACAUCUAAGUAGCUGCAGGAAGAGAAAGCAAAAGCGAUUGCCUUAGUAGCGGCGAGCGAAACGGCAAGAGGGCAAACCGAAGAGUUUACUCUUCGGGGUUGUAGGACUGCAACGUGGACUUAAAGAUUAUAGAAGAACUACCUGGGAAGGUAGGCCAAAGAGAGUAAUAGCCUCGUAUUCGAAAUAGUCUUUAUACCUAGCAGUAUCCUGAGUACGGCGAGACACGAGAAAUCUCGUCGGAAUCUGGGAGGACCAUCUCCCAACCCUAAAUACUCUCUAGUGACCGAUAGUGAACCAGUACCGUGAGGGAAAGGUGAAAAGCACCCCGGGAGGGGAGUGAAAUAGAACCUGAAACCGUGUGCCUACAACAAGUUCGAGCCCGUUAAUGGGUGAGAGCGUGCCUUUUGUAGAAUGAACCGGCGAGUUACGAUAUGAUGCGAGGUUAAGUUGAAGAGACGGAGCCGUAGGGAAACCGAGUCUUAAUAGGGCGCAUUAGUAUCAUGUCGUAGACCCGAAACCAUGUGACCUACCCAUGAGCAGGUUGAAGGUGAGGUAAAACUCACUGGAGGACCGAACCAGGGCACGUUGAAAAGUGCUUGGAUGACUUGUGGGUAGCGGAGAAAUUCCAAACGAACUUGGAGAUAGCUGGUUCUCUCCGAAAUAGCUUUAGGGCUAGCGUCGAUGUUAAGUCUCUUGGAGGUAGAGCACUGUUUGGGUGAGGGGUCCAUCCCGGAUUACCAAUCUCAGAUAAACUCCGAAUGCCAACGAGAUAUAAUCGGCAGUCAGACUGCGAGUGCUAAGAUCCGUAGUCGAAAGGGAAACAGCCCAGACCACCAGCUAAGGUCCCAAAAUAUAUGUUAAGUGGAAAAGGAUGUGGGGUUGCACAGACAACUAGGAUGUUAGCUUAGAAGCAGCUAUUCAUUCAAAGAGUGCGUAAUAGCUCACUAGUCGAGUGACCCUGCGCCGAAAAUGUACCGGGGCUAAAACAUAUUACCGAAGCUGUGGAUACCUUUAUAGGUAUGGUAGGAGAGCGUUCUAUGUGCGAAGAAGGUGUACCGUGAGGAGUGCUGGAGCGCAUAGAAGUGAGAAUGCCGGUAUGAGUAGCGAAAGACAGGUGAGAAUCCUGUCCACCGUAAGACUAAGGUUUCCAGGGGAAGGCUCGUCCGCCCUGGGUUAGUCGGGACCUAAGGAGAGACCGAAAGGUGUAUCCGAUGGACAACAGGUUGAUAUUCCUGUACUAGAGUAUAUAGUGAUGGAGGGACGCAGUAGGCUAACUAAACCAGACGAUUGGAAGUGUCUGGCCAAGCAGUGAGGUGUGAUAUGAGUCAAAUGCUUAUAUCUCUAACAUUGAGCUGUGAUGGGGAGCGAAGUUUAGUAGCGAAGUUAGUGAUGUCACACUGCCGAGAAAAGCUUCUAGCGUUAAUUAUACUCUACCCGUACCGCAAACCGACACAGGUAGUCGAGGCGAGUAGCCUCAGGUGAGCGAGAGAACUCUCGUUAAGGAACUCGGCAAAAUGGCCCCGUAACUUCGGGAGAAGGGGCGCUGACUUAUGGUCAGCCGCAGUGAAUAGGCCCAAGCAACUGUUUAUCAAAAACACAGCUCUCUGCUAAAUCGUAAGAUGAUGUAUAGGGGGUGACGCCUGCCCGGUGCUGGAAGGUUAAGAGGAGUGCUUAGCGUAAGCGAAGGUAUGAAUUGAAGCCCCAGUAAACGGCGGCCGUAACUAUAACGGUCCUAAGGUAGCGCACGAAAGGCGUAAUGAUUUGGGCACUGUCUCAACGAGAGACUCGGUGAAAUUUUAGUACCUGUGAAGAUGCAGGUUACCCGCGACAGGACGGAAAGACCCCAUGGAGCUUUACUGCAGUUUGAUAUUGAGUAUCUGUACCACAUGUACAGGAUAGGUAGGAGCCUAUGACCUCGGGACGCCAGUUUCGAGUGAGGCGUUGUUGGGAUACUACCCUUGUGUUAUGGCUACUCUAACCCAGAUAGGUUAUCCCUAUCGGAGACAGUGUCUGACGGGCAGUUUGACUGGGGCGGUCGCCUCCUAAAAGGUAACGGAGGCGCCCAAAGGUUCCCUCAGAAUGGUUGGAAAUCAUUCGCAGAGU
rnacentral:rRNA from 1 species